CGAGUCGGCCGGGCGGCCGCGGUGGGUGGAACGGGCGGAUCACCGUCACGCCGCACACCGAGGAAAGUCCGGACUCCGCAGAGCAGGGUGGUUGUUAACGGCAACCCGGGGCGACCCGCGGGACAGUGCCACAGAAAACAGACCGCCGGCCGUCAGGCCGGUAAGGGUGAAACGGUGCGGUAAGAGCGCACCAGCGAUGCGGGUGACCGCGUCGGCUCGGUAAACCCCACCCGGAGCAAGGCCGAAGCAUGCACCUGCCGGUGCAUGUGCGCGGGCGUCAUGAGGGCUGCUCGCCCCAGCCCGCGGGUGGGCCGCUCGAGGUACCCGGCGACGGUGUGCCCAGAUGGAUGGUCGCCACCCGCGACGGUCGUCCAGACCGGCGCGGGUACAGGAUCCGGCUUACGUGCCGACUCGUUCG
rnacentral:RNase_P_RNA from 2 species